rnacentral:rRNA from 1 species
CCUACGGGUGGCUGCAGUGAGGAAUAUUGGUCAAUGGACGCAAGUCUGAACCAGCCAUGCCGCGUGCAGGAAGACGGCUCUAUGAGUUGUAAACUGCUUUUGUCGGGGAGCAACGGGCGCCACGUGUGGCGCCACUGAGAGUACCCGGAGAAAAAGCAUCGGCUAACUCCGUGCCAGCAGCCGCGGUAAUACGGAGGAUGCGAGCGUUAUCCGGAUUUAUUGGGUUUAAAGGGUGCGUAGGCGGAGCGUUAAGUCAGUGGUCAAAUUGAGGGGCUCAACCCCUUCCCGCCAUUGAAACUGGCGCUCUUGAGUGGAAGAGAAGUAUGCGGAAUGCGUGGUGUAGCGGUGAAAUGCAUAGAUAUCACGCAGAACCCCGAUUGCGAAGGCAGCAUGCCGGCUUCCGACUGACGCUGAAGCACGAAAGCGUGGGGAUCGAACAGGAUUAGAUACCCCGGUAGUC